rnacentral:rRNA from 1 species
UACGUAGGGAGCAAGCGUUGUCCGGAUUCACUGGGUGUAAAGGGUGCGCAGGCGGGAGAGUAAGUCAGAGGUGAAAUCUCACAGCUUAACUGUGAAACUGCCUUUGAUACUGCUUUUCUUGAGUUCGGGAGAGGUUGAUGGAAUUCCAGGUGUAGCGGUGAAAUGCGUAGAUAUCUGGAAGAACACCAGUGGCGAAGGCGGUCUCCUGGGGCAUUCUUGACGCUGAUGCGCGAAAGCUGGGGGAGCAAACGGG